rnacentral:rRNA from 1 species
GAUGAACGCUGGCGGCGUGCUUAACACAUGCAAGUCGAACGAAGUCUUCUAGACAGAUUCCUUCGGGAUGACGAUUAGAUGUACUUAGUGGCGGACGGGUGAGUAACGCGUGGGUAACCUGCCUCAUACAGGGGGAUAACAGUUGGAAACAGCUGCUAAUACCCCAUAAGCGCACAAUGUCGCAUGACAAAGUGUGAAAAACUCCGGUGGUAUGAGAUGGACCCGCGUCUGAUUAGCUAGUUGGUGAGGUAACGGCCCACCGAGGCGACGAUCAGUAGCCGACUUGAGAGAGUGAUCGGCCACAUUGGGACUGAGACACGGCCCAGACUCCUACGGGAGGCAGCAGUGGGGAAUAUUGCACAAUGGGGGAAACCCUGAUGCAGCGACGCCGCGUGAGUGAUGAAGUAUUUCGGUAUGUAAAGCUCUAUCAGCAAGGAAGAUAAUGACGGUACUUGACUAAGAAGCCCCGGCUAAAUACGUGCCAGCCGCCGCCGUAACAC